GUUAAUUCAAGCAGAAAGUCCUUUCAGAGCAGGGGCAAUGGUUUAUUUGCAAACUUAAAGAGGCAGUUCAGGUACGACAAGGCAUGAGAUUUACCUUUAGCUACUCCACAUUUAAUAACCUGGUUUAUAAAUUGAAGCCCUGUUACAGAUGGAAAGCAGAAGCUAGGAAAUAUCAGAGAACAGCAGCUGAAGGAUGGAAGAUGAGAAACUCCAUUUAUACAAGAUUAGAUUUGGAAUCUGCUGCUCAACCAGGAGCCAUAACAGGAUCUCUCAUGUCUCAGAACACCUUUCAGAAAACAACUGAAGGUAGUGGACAUAUUUUACUUGAAAAACUGAUAGCAUGCCAUUUUCAGAAAUACAUUUAAACCCACGUAGAAGCCACAGGAAGGAAUCCUCAUCCUAAUUCUGCUUUAGAAGAUAGAAAUUAUAGUCCUGCACUGCAAGGGGAGGUGAGCUGUGAGCUGAGCACAGAUGGGAGCGGUAACCUGGCUGACAAAACACCUUGUCUGGGUCAGAACAGAGCUCAGAGACUGAUCAGCAAGUCUGCAGCAGAGAGAUGGGUCCAAGGCCAAGCCAGGAAGUCAGACCAGCAAAUCUGGAUGGGAUCCACAGAGGUGAAUCAGCUCAGGCACAGACAGAGCUCCUACACAGCAGCAGUGUAAUGCAGGCUGGGGCAGUGUUAAGUCUCAGUUUACAAGCAGCUCUGAAAUGAAAGGCAGGGCAGGACCUUGUUCCCAGCUUUCCUCACAGGAGUUCCUAUCACCAGGGUCAAACUUGGACUCAGACAGCUGAACCCUGUAGCUUUUCCAGCUGAAUUCCUGAAAGUGAGAUGAGCUCUGGGCCCCAACAGCUGGAAUGCAGGAAGGAAUGUGGAAACAAACACAAAGCAAGUAUGAGCCUUAUUUACUUCUGGGAAACAGGUAAUUUCAUAUUACAUUCUGGAGGAUGUAGUACUUCUUCCACACAGUAUACAGGAUUCCCACCUAUAACUGGUGCUGAUACUGUAACUGGUUAAUUAAGGAAACACAGUUAUUCUAUCACAGUGAAAACUUAAAGAAAAAAAACAAGGGCGACAGGAGAUUGUGAAAUAUUAGUGGACAAAGGGUUAAAUCCCAAGGAAAGGCUAUCAGUUUCCAGUAGAACUAUUGCAACAUGAAAGAGACACUGUGGGAAUGCACCAGUGGAACAGGAUGCACAUGUGAAAAUGAAAAGCAGAUUAUUAAUUUGACAAGUGGGCUUGAAUGUACUGCCUUCAGUCCAGACAUGCCUUUGGCUGUGUAAAUUGGUCUUUGUACUGGGACCUGCCCAGGUCUCCAGUUACAGCUCCUCCUGAGCUCUUGGAAAGGCAAAGGAUCAGGUUAUGAG
rnacentral:lncRNA from 1 species